AGUGAACGCUGGCGGCGUGCCUAAUACAUGCAAGUCGAACGGAAUUUAAAAGAGCUUGCUCUUUUGAAUUUAGUGGCGCACGGGUGAGUAAUAUAUAGCUAAUCUGCCCCUUGCUGGAGGACAACAGUUAGAAAUGACUGCUAAUACUCCAUACUCCUUUUUACCAUAAGAUAAAUCGGGAAAGAAUUUCGGCAAGGGAUGAGACUAUAUCGUAUCAGCUAGUCGGUGGGGUAACGGCCUACCGAGGCUAUGACGCGUAACUGGUCUGAGAGGAUGAUCAGCCACAUUGGAACUGAGACACGGUCCAAACUCCUACGGGAGGCAGCAGUAGGGAAUAUUGCGCAAUGGGGGAAACCCUGACGCAGCAACGCCGCGUGGAGGAUGACACUUUUCGGAGCGUAAACUCCUUUUGUUAGGGAAGAAUAAUGACGGUACCUAACGAAUAAGCACCGGCUAA
rnacentral:rRNA from 1 species